rnacentral:rRNA from 1 species
UGCAAGUCGAACGGAGAUUGUAGCAAUACAAUCUUAGUGGCGAACGGGUGAGUAACGCGUUGGUGACCUGCCCCAAAGAGUGGGAUAACAGUCCGAAAGGAUUGCUAAUACCGCAUGUGGCUACCGGGUUUAGAAACCGGUAACUAAAGGCGUAAGCCACUUUGGGAGGGGCCUGCGUCCCAUCAGCUAGUUGGUGAGGUAACGGCUUACCAAGGCGAUGACGGGUAGGGGACCUGAGAGGGUGGCCCCCCACAAUGGUACUGAAACACGGACCAUACACCUACGGGUGGCAGCAGUAGGGAAUAUUAGUUAAUGUGCGAAAGCGCGAACUAGCAACGCCGCGUGUGCGAUGAAGGCCUUCGGGUCGUAAAGCACUUUUCUAAGGGAUGAGGAAGGACAGUACCUUAGGAAUAAGCCUCGGCUAACUACGUGCCAGCAGCCGCGGUAAAACGUAGGAGGCGAGCGUUAUCCGGAUUUACUGGGCGUAAAGCGCGUGCAGGCGGUUUGGUAAGUUGGAUGUGAAAGCUCCCGGCUUAACUGGGAGAGGUCGUUCAAAACUGCCAGACUUGAGGAUGGUAGAGGGAGAUGGAAUUCCGGGUGUAGUGGUGAAAUGCGUAGAUAUCCGGAGGAACACCAGUGGCGAAAGCGGUCUCCUGGACCAUUUCUGACGCUCAGACGCGAAAGCUAGGGUAGCAAACGGGAUUAGAGACCCCGGUAGUCCUAGCUGUAAACGAUGUAGACUUGGCGUCGGCGGGUUUAAAUCCGUCGGUGUCGAAGCUAACGCGAUAAGUCUACCGCC